UCGUAACAAGGUCUCCGUUGGUGAACCAGCGGAGGGAUCAUUACUGAGUUAUCUAAACUCCCAACCCUUUGUGAACCUUACCGUCGUUGCCUCGGCGGGCUGUGCUUACCCGGUAGCUACCCUGUAGCUACCCGGUAGGUACGCUACAAGCCCGCCGGUGGACCACUAAACUCUGUUUUAAUACCGAAUCUCUGAAUGCUUCAACUUAAUAAGUUAAAACUUUCAACAACGGAUCUCUUGGUUCUGGCAUCGAUGAAGAACGCAGCGAAAUGCGAUAAGUAAUGUGAAUUGCAGAAUUCAGUGAAUCAUCGAAUCUUUGAACGCACAUUGCGCCCAUUAGUAUUCUAGUGGGCAUGCCUAUUCGAGCGUCAUUUCAACCCUUAAGCCUAGCUGCUUAGUGUUGGGAAUCUGCCCUGUUUUUUUACAGCGCAGUUCCUUAAAGUGAUUGGCGGAGUUAGGGCAUACUCUAAGCGUAGUAAUAUUUCUUCUCGCUUCUGUAGUUGUCCUGACGGCUUGCCGUUAAACCCCUAUAUUUCUAGUGGUUGACCUCGGAUUAGGUAGGAAUACCCGCUGAACUUAAGCAUAUCGCAAAAGAAACCAACAGGGAUUGCCCUAGUAACGGCGAGUGAAGCGGCAACAGCUCAAAUUUGAAAUCUGGCCCUAGCGGUCCGAGUUGUAAUUUGUAGAGGAUGCUUUUGGUUAGGUGCCUUCCGAGUUCCCUGGAACGGGACGCCAGAGAGGGUGAGAGCCCCGUACGGUUGGACACCGAGCCUCUAUAUAGCUCCUUCGACGAGUCGAGUAGUUUGGGAAUGCUGCUCUAAAUGGGAGGUAAAUUUCUUCUAAAGCUAAAUACCGGCCAGAGACCGAUAGCGCACAAGUAGAGUGAUCGAAAGAUGAAAAGUACUUUGAAAAGAGGGUUAAAUAGCACGUGAAAUUGUUGAAAGGGAAGCGUUUGCGACCAGACUUUUUCCAGGCGGAUCAUCCGGUGUUCUCACCGGUGCACUUCGCCUGGUUUAGGCCAGCAUCGGUUCUCUUAGGGGGAUAAAGGCUUGGGGAACGUGGCUCCUUCGGGAGUGUUAUAGCCCCUUGCGUAAUACCCUUCGGGGGACCGAGGAACGCGCAUCUGCAAGGAUGCUGGCGUAAUGGUCGUCAACGACCC
rnacentral:rRNA from 1 species